UACUGAGUUAGUGUGUUCUAAAGAAGAAAGUUAUCACAGAUAGCCUUUGACCGUGACGCUUCAUCUUGGUGUUUCCCUGAUUAAAUAGUUGACUCUGGCCCGUAUAUGCCAAAAGGCAAGUUUUUUUGAUGUUAUAUAGGAAAAGUCAAAUGUCCGACAAAAUGAAAGGUCAAGUUAAGUGGUUCAACGAGUCUAAAGGCUUCGGUUUCAUCACUCCAGCUGAUGGUAGCAAAGACGUUUUCGUCCACUUCUCUGCCAUUCAGGGCAAUGGUUUCAAAACUCUGGCUGAAGGUCAGCAAGUUGAAUUCACCAUUGAAAACGGUGCAAAAGGCCCAGCAGCUGCUAACGUAACUGCUAUCUAAGCUAAUUGCUUAACUGAUUUUCUAAAGCCCGUCAUUUUUAAUGACGGGCUUUUUC
rfam:Providencia rettgeri DSM 1131 genomic scaffold Scfld0, whole genome shotgun sequence.